UAUAAAACAGAAAUAAAACGAUGUGCGCUUUAAAAUCAAUUAAAAAAUUCUGCUGCUUCAAAAAACCUGAAUUUUUAACAACUAAAGAUAAUCUUCAGAAAAUAAACAGUUUACACUAAUUUUGGAGUGAGAAUGUGGCACCAACUGGUGACAUUGGUCAUAAUCGGCACAUGCAUGUAUAUUGUGUUAGUUCUUUUUUUUAAUUUUAUAAUGUGUCUUUUAGUAAAGGACGUAAAAAUAAUUUCUUUAGUGGUUGUAAGGGUGUGGAGGAAAGAUACGCAUGUUGUAAAUUCUGUUUGACAUUGGAAGAUAAAUAUUGAAUUAUUUCCUUUUUCAACUAUAUUAUUUAUUUUCGUCUUAAAUGUUGUUUGAUUAUUGAUAUAUGUCAAUAGCUGUCAAGUUUAUUAUGAUACUGUCAAAUGUGACAGAUAUUUUGAUACUCUUUGAUUUUUUUCAAUGGAAUUAUAAACAAUGGAAAAUUACUUCCCUCAGAUUUUUUCCCUGAAAUGAUAGUAAAAUCUUUAAGUGAAAUGUUUCAAUUAUUUUUCAUUUCCAUAAAAUAACACCCAGUUAUUAUUUUGACAACGCAUCGUUGUCAUUUCGAUUACACAUAUUUUUCACUCUAAAAAGAUAAAAAAUAGUAAACUUUUUUUUUCUUUUC